ensembl:lncRNA
UUUGCUGGCCCUGUCCCUGUUCUACUUUUGAGGAUUCCUGAGGGUAGGUGCAGGCCCUCCAUGAUACCACCAUGGUCCUGCGUGAGGAGAAAGGAAAUACACUUUGGAUGACUUGCACCAAGUGCUUUCCUGCUAUCAGCAAGUCCCUCUCUGUGCAGACAGUUUGCUUUGACCAAGGUGGCUGUAGCAGCAGAAUUGAAGGGACGAUGGCUCCAGCAGCAGCACCUGCAGUGCAGGACAGAAGGCAGGGUCACCCCUUGAUGUUCGGUUCCAUGGGAACGAGGAGCUGGCACCACCUUGUGCCAAUAGGAGUGGAUCAGGCCCCUUGGCUAUAAAAUGCUCUCCAGUGUCUGCUGUAACUGCAGGUGGUGGUGACAUGCAGCUCUCUGGCUGCGCAUUAAACUCAGCAUCCCUCUUUGUGCUGCGAAUUGUAUUCUGAGCUGAGUGAAUUACCACUGGACAUCUGUAAAACACAUUUAUGUGGCUCGAAGGUUUCUAUAGACAAAGAUGGGCUAGCUGUAGCUACCCUCCCAGUUUAGCCCCAGGGUACGUUUCUGCUGUGGAUGUCUCCAGUGACAGCAGCAUUCCAGGGCAAACAAAAGGCCAGGGAAGUGCUGUAGUCUGUGUUAUCCAUUAGUUGCUGGAAGCCUGUGCCAAACAAAUUCUUAUUGUUGCAGUUGAUUUGUGUGUAGAUAUCAAUGGAUAUACCUCUGAGACCAUGGGAAUUCUGUCUGCAGGAACUCAUCUCCAGUGGUCCACAUUUUUGUGGAUUUCCACGCACUGCACAGGGUAUUGCACAUUGCUAAUAUGUAUGCUAUCUGAUUGCUAAGACUCAGGGGGAUACAUUUGCUAUUCCUCAUUCCUCAGACUUGCAGAAGUGUGUUUAUAAGUACCACUUCUUGUACCGAUGCUGUCUUUAUGGAUCUCACUGGGCCGUGCACAGCAUGGUGUUAGGCAUAUCUGUUUUUGGGAGGAUCAGAAACGUAUUCUGACCUUUGCAAAAAAAUAAAAAAAGGACAGAGACAUCCCUUUAGUGCUGUGCCUGAACAGUGAUGGAUUCCUGACCCUCGAAUUCUGUACUAAACAGCAGUAUAGAAAAGCAACAGAGCACCCAAGGAUGCACUCUCCCCUCCUGCACAAAGAUCUAGAGCUCCUUUAACAGAGUGACUAACUCCAGUCCCUGCACAGACCAUGGUUUAGGGUACAUGGGGUAAAAUACAUACAUUGAUCAGUUCAACAGACUUCACCGGAUGUCACAACUUCUUCUCAGUACAGGUUCUAAGAAAAACUAAAGCUGUAAAACUUUUUUUUUUAUUGCCCUUAUUGGUAAGGGCCUCUUAAAAAAUUGG